UACGUAGGGGGCUAGCGUUGUCCGGAAUCACUGGGCGUAAAGCGCGUGUAGGCGGUCCGGUAAGUCCGCUGUGAAAGUCGGGGGCUCAACCCUCGGAUGCCGGUGGAUACUGUCGGGCUUGAGUACGGAAGAGGCGAGUGGAAUUCCUGGUGUAGCGGUGAAAUGCGCAGAUAUCAGGAGGAACACCAACUGCGAAGGCAGCUCGCUGGGACGUUACUGACGCUGAGACGCGAAAGCGUGGGGAGCGAACAGG
rnacentral:rRNA from 1 species